ACUACCACUUGACGGAUGUACCCGCACGGAUGGCCGCUGCCACUUCGCGAUCGGCACGAACAAUGAGGACGUAUACACGCGACCGUCGUAUCGGCCACUAACGGAUUGGCUGCGAACGGAAUACAUCACACUUCCAUAUACCGCAAGACGACCACAACGAGGACACCGCGGAGUGACGACACGUCACGAAUGGGAUGCCGAAAGAAUUUACAAUAAUUUGUCCGAUGUACUAGUACAAGUUAUUUCUAUGAAUUUCAAAAAAAAAAAAAACUAUUAAAAUAACAAAAUAUGAUAAACAAUAUAAAACGCAAUGGAUAUUCAGAGUUACUCACUCAAUUUGGAUGUGAUGUUCAAAUUGGCGCCACCACAACCUCCUUGAGUGAGCGACUCGGGGAUCUACAUGCUCGUCGCAGGCUGCAGUGCCCGCUUGGAUUAUUGUUUUGUUUGAUUAACAAUAUGCCUAACAGAUAACAUUAUUAUCAUUUCGAUUAAGUGACGCGAUGCCGUG